rnacentral:rRNA from 1 species
UUGACGGGGGCCCGCACAAGCGGCGGAGCAUGCGGAUUAAUUCGAUGCAACGCGAAGAACCUUACCUGGGUUUGACAUAUGCCGGAAAGCUGCAGAGAUGUAGCCCCCGCAGGGUCGGUAUACAGGUGGUGCAUGGCUGUCGUCAGCUCGUGUCGUGAGAUGUUGGGUUAAGUCCCGCAACGAGCGCAACCCUCGUCCUAUGUUGCCAGCGGAUAAUGCCGGGGACUCAUAGGAGACUGCCGGGGUCAACUCGGAGGAAGGUGGGGAUGACGUCAAGUCAUCAUGCCCCUUAAGUCCAGGGCUUCACGCAUGCUACAAUGGCUGGUACAAAGGGCUGCAAAACCGCAAGGUCGAGCGAAUCCCAAAAAGCCAGUCUCAGUUCGGAUUGGGGUCUGCAACUCGACCCCAUGAAGUCGGAGUCGCUAGUAAUCGCAGAUCAGCAACGCUGCGGUGAAUACGUUCCCGGGCCUUGUACACACCGCCCGUCAAGUCAUGAAAGUCGGUAACACCCGAAGCCGGUGGCCCAACCCUUGUGGAGGGAGCUGUCGAAGG